rnacentral:tRNA from 1 species
GGAGAACCUGUGGCUGGAUCACCUCCUUUCUAAGGAGAAGCGCCACCUUUCGGGGUGAGCGCUACGGUCAACCUCUCAUUUGCUCAGGCUUAGGCUUGAGCUAUCCAUCCGGUUUUCAAAGACGCUUGCGGGGUGACCGCUGAAGCGUCUUUGGAAGAAGAGAAGUAGGGUUCCAAGUCAUGGGCCCGUAGCUCAGCUGGGAGAGCGCCUGGUUUGCAUCCAGGAGGUCGUCGGUUCGAACCCGGUCGGGUCCACCACCCAGCCGAGGCGAAUCACCAGCCAAAACCGAAGGGCCUAUAGCUCAGCCUGGUUAGAGCGUACGCCUGAUAAGCGUAAGGUCGGUGGUUCGAAUCCACCUAGGCCCACCACAGGUGCUCCGAGCGGAAGCGAGGAGCUGGAUGCUGGAAGGCCGGGCGAGGCGGUGGGUGGAGCUUGGUGGUACUUCUCUCCUUGAUCUGAAGUGAGAAGCCGAGGGGCUUCUGAGUUCAGCUCAAGGGCUGACGGUCCGGAAGGGCCGAGGGCAAUCUUUGACAGUCAAAUAACGAAAUCGAGAAGGGUAGUCCAGAACGCUUCAGGGCGAGCUGGGCGCUUUAACAAGGCGAGUUGAGAGCUGAGCAACAUUGCGGGUCUUUCGUUGAUGGAAUGCAUUGAUGGAAGGCCAAGCUACGAAGGGUUGAC